rnacentral:ncRNA from 3 species
UACGUAGGGUGCGAGCGUUGUCCGGAAUUACUGGGCGUAAAGAGCUCGUAGGUGGUUUGUCGCGUUGUUCGUGAAAUCUCACGGCUUAACUGUGAGCGUGCGGGCGAUACGGGCAGACUAGAGUACUGCAGGGGAGACUGGAAUUCCUGGUGUAGCGGUGGAAUGCGCAGAUAUCAGGAGGAACACCGGUGGCGAAGGCGGGUCUCUGGGCAGUAACUGACGCUGAGGAGCGAAAGCGUGGGGAGCGAACAGG